CCUUCGGGGAGAGUGGCGAAAGGGCGAGGAAUAGAAUCGAACGUACCCCAAGGUGGAGGAUAGCUUCUGGAAACGGAAGGUAAUACUCCAUGUGCUCUACGGAGGAAAGGUUUACUGCCUUGGGAGCGGCGAUUCACCUAUCAGGUAGUUGGUGAGGUAAAGGCUCACCAAGCCGAAGACGGGUAGCGGGUGUGAGAGCAUGACCCGCCGCAUCGGGACUGAGACACUGCCCGGACUCCUACGGGAGGCUGCAGUAACGAAUCUUCCGCAAUGGGCGAAAGCCUGACGGAGCAAUGCCGCGUGUGGGAUCAAGCAUCUUCGAUGUGUAAACCACUGUCAGGGUCUAGGAAUACUGACCAGACCCAGAGGAAGGGCCGGCUAAUUCAGUGCCAGCAGCCGCGGUAAUACUGAAGGCCCGAGCGUUAAUCGGAAUCACUGGGCUUAAAGCGUACGCAGGCGGACUUGUAGGUAUCUUGUGAAAUCCCACGGCUUAACCGUGGAACUGCAGGGUAAACCACAAGUCUUGAGACAUGUAGGGGUCAGUGGAACGAUGUGUGGAGCGGUGAAAUGCGUAGAUAUACAUCGGAACGCCAAUGGCGAAGGCAGCUGACUGGGCAUGUUCUGACGCUCAGGUACGAAAGCGUGGGUAGCGAACGGGAUUAGAUACCCCGGUAGUCCACGCCGUAAACGAUGCACACUAGUUCGUGGGAUCUCUCAUGAUUUCGCGGACGAAGGUAAACUGGUUAGUGUGCCGCCUGGGGAGUACGGUCGCAAGGCUAAAACUCAAAGGAAUUGACGGGGGCUCACACAAGCGGUGGAGCAUGUUGCUUAAUU
rnacentral:rRNA from 1 species